rnacentral:rRNA from 1 species
GAUGAACGCUAGCGACAGGCCUAACACAUACAAGUCGAGGGGCAGCACAUGAGUAGCAAUACGAUGGUGGCGACCGGCGCACGGGUGAGUAUCGCGUAUGCAACCUACCUUCCACAGGGGGAUAGCCUUCCGAAAGGGAGAUUAAUACCGCAUAAAACAGGGGCCCCGCAUGGGGAUAUUUGUCAAAGAUUUAUCGGUGGGAGAUGGGCAUGCGUUCCAUUAGCUAGUUGGCGGGGUAAUGGCCCACCAAGGCAUCGAUGGAUAGGGGAACUGAGAGGUUUAUCCCCCACACUGGAACUGAGACACGGUCCAGACUCCUACGGGAGGCAGCAGUGAGGAAUAUUGGUCAAUGGGCGGGAGCCUGAACCAGCCAAGUCGCGUGAAGGAAGACGGUUCUAUGGAUUGUAAACUUCUUUUGCACUGGGGUAAAACGGGGGACGUGUCCCCCCUUGCAAGUACAGUGCGAAUAAGCAUCGGCUAACUCCGUGCCAGCAGCCGCGGUAA